GACUACUGGGGUAUCUAAUCCUGUUUGCUCCCCACGCUUUCGCACCUCAGCGUCAGUAAAGGCCCAGGGGGUCGCCUUCGCCUCUGGUGUUCCUCCCGAUAUCUACGAAUUUCACCUCUACACCGGGAAUUCCACCCCCCUCUACCUCACUCAAGACUGGCAGUAUCAAAUGCAGUUCCGGAGUUGAGCUCCGGGAUUUCACAUCUGACUUACCGAUCCGCCUACGUGCUCUUUACGCCCAGUGAUUCCGAAUAACACUCGCACCCUCCGUAUUACCGCGGCUGCUGGCACGGAGUUAGCCGGUGCUUCCUCAAAGGGUACCGUCAAUGGACAUGGGUAUUAACCAUAUCCCCUUUCUUCCCCUCUGACAGAGCUUUACGACCCGAAGGCCUUCAUCGCUCACACGGCGUCGCUGCGUCAGGGUUUCCCCCAUUGCGCAAUAUUCCUCACUGCAGCCACCCGUAGG
rnacentral:rRNA from 1 species